CCUACGGGAGGCAGCAGUGGGGAAUAUUGCACAAUGGGCGCAAGCCUGAUGCAGCCAUGCCGCGUGUGUGAAGAAGGCCUUCGGGUUGUAAAGCACUUUCAGCGGGGAGGAAGGCGGUGAGGUUAAUAACCUCAUCGAUUGACGUUACCCGCAGAAGAAGCACCGGCUAACUCCGUGCCAGCAGCCGCGGUAAUACGGAGGGUGCAAGCGUUAAUCGGAAUUACUGGGCGUAAAGCGCACGCAGGCGGUCUGUCAAGUCGGAUGUGAAAUCCCCGGGCUCAACCUGGGAACUGCAUUCGAAACUGGCAGGCUAGAGUCUUGUAGAGGGGGGUAGAAUUCCAGGUGUAGCGGUGAAAUGUGUAGAGAUCUGGAGGAAUACCGGUGGCGAAGGCGGCCCCCUGGACAAAGACUGACGCUCAGGUGCGAAAGCGUGGGGAGCAAACAGGAUUAGAUACCCUUGUAGUC
rnacentral:rRNA from 1 species